rnacentral:rRNA from 1 species
UACGUAGGGGGCAAGCGUUAUCCAGAUUUACUGGGCGUAAAGCGCGUGUAGGCGGCUGGUUAGGCGUGAUGUGAAAUCCCUCGGCUCAACCGAGGACGUGCAUACGAAACUGCGGAGCUUGAGUGCUGAAGAGGAUCGCGGAAUUCCCGGUGUAGUGGUGAAAUGCGUAGAGAUCGGGAGGAACACCUGUGGCGAAGGCGGCCGACUGGGCCGACCCUGACGCUGAGGCGCGAAGGCGUGGGGAGCGAACGGG